AUGCACGCUGGCGGCGUGCCUAAUACAUGCCAGUCGAGCGAACAGACGAGGAGCUUGCUCCUCUGACGUUAGCGGCGGACGGGUGAGUAACACGUGGAUAACCUACCUAUAAGACUGGGAUAACUUCGGGAAACCGGAGCUAAUACCGGAUAAUAUAUUGAACCGCAUGGUUCAAUAGUGAAAGACGGUUUUGCUGUCACUUAUAGAUGGAUCCGCGCCGCAUUAGCUAGUUGGUAAGGUAACGGCUUACCAAGGCAACGAUGCGUAGCCAACCUGGGAGGGGAAUCGGCCAAACUGAAAUGGAGACCCGUCCCAGCCCCCAAGGGGAGCAAGCGGAGGGGAACCUUCGGCAAUGGGGGAAAGCCUGACGGAGCAACGCCGGGUGGGUGAUGAAGGUCUUCGGUUCGUAAACUCUGUUAUUAGGGAAGAACAAAUGUGUAAGUAACUAUGCACGUCUUGACGGUACCUAAUCAGAAAGCCACGGCUAACUACGUG
rnacentral:rRNA from 1 species